GACGUAGGGUGCAAGCGUUGUCCGGAUUUACUGGGCGUAAAGAGCGCGUAGGCGGUCUGUUAAGUGUGAAGUGAAAUCUCCAGAGCUCAACUCGGAAACUGCUUCGCAUACUGGCAGGCUGGAGGAAUGGAGAGGUGAGUGGAAUUCCUGGUGUACCGGUGAAAUGGGUUGAUAUCAGGAGGAACACCGAUGGCGAAGGCAGCUCACUGGCCAUUAUCUGACGCUGAGGCGCGAAAGCGUGGGUAGCAAACAGG
rnacentral:misc_RNA from 1 species